AUUAAACGCUGGCGGCAUGCCUUACACAUGCAAGUCGAACGGCAGCACGGGUGCUUGCACCUGGUGGCGAGUGGCGAACGGGUGAGUAAUACAUCGGAACAUGUCCUGUAGUGGGGGAUAGCCCGGCGAAAGCCGGAUUAAUACCGCAUACGAUCUACGGAUGAAAGCGGGGGACCUUCGGGCCUCGCGCUAUAGGGUUGGCCGAUGGCUGAUUAGCUAGUUGGUGGGGUAAAGGCCUACCAAGGCGACGAUCAGUAGCUGGUCUGAGAGGACGACCAGCCACACUUGGGCUUAGACCACGCCCCGACCCCUACGGGGAGCAGCCGUUGGGAAUUUUGGACCAUUGGCGAAAGCCUGAUCCAACAAAGGCGGGUGGUUGAAGAAGGCCUUCGGGUUGUAAAGCACUUUUGUCCGGAAAGAAAUCCUUGGCCCUAAUACGGUCGGGGGAUGACGGUACCGGAAGAAUAAGCACCGGCUAACUACGUG
rnacentral:rRNA from 1 species